UGGAGCCAGACAUGGAUAAGAUGCCCGGUGACAGAGACAACCUUUAACUGUCCUUCAGACACAUACACAGAAUACGGGAGUGAAUUGAAUGGACGGCAAUAAACAACAAAUGCGGACCAUAAAGCUCGAUGAGAGCUGUUAAUACGAUUACCUGUUUGACUUUCUGAAUCAAGUAGGAUGGUGUAAGAUAGUAGGACUGUCAAUGUGGCGACUGGAACAGCAACGAGAGACAAGUUAACUUGCAAGAAGCGACGAACGGGCCGAGCUGCUCCACUUACAAGAUUUGGCAGCACUCCAAGAUCUGAGAAAAACAUUGAGGCAUAGCUUGGUUUGAUGUCUGGAAAGAGCAGGAGGGAGGGAGGAAGAGAGAGUCCUCAUUUCCAUUUCACAGACUUGAUUCAUAGCAACACGGCAACAGAAAAGGAGAACUGUAAGAACGUAUAGUGAGAGAGUAACUGCCAGUCAGAGGGAAAUGUAAAGAUAAGGCAGACAUACAUGUUUGCAGAACAGGAGUGAAAAUAUAGAUUGACAUGACGUCGUCUUCUCGCCAAGCUAAACUCAGUGAACCCUACCACGGAGAGAGAAAGUCCAUUUGGCUCUCGGCAUUGUAAUCAACUUAACGUGGCUGGCUUUUAUGGCCGAACCAGCCAAUUGAAAAGCCAGCCAAGAAUCUGAAGGAACGUUUUACACAUCCAGCCAUGCUCCUCCUAAUUGCCGGUUGGAGCUCCAGCUUGUCCGUCUUCUCGCUCCCUCCUUCCUUUCCAGCGCCUCGACAAGAAGCCUUCAUUACGACCCUCGCGGGAGGCUGAGCCUGACUCCAAAGGAGAACUUUGAUUGAUGAAAAAAAGAGGGCGAUGUGAGUGUGUCCUCAAUACAACAUUUGCUGUGACCUUGUUUUCCCUGACAGGUCUAAAUUUAAACCAAGCGGAUCGGUUUUACAGCGAGCGGGAAAAUGUGGUCCAGAUACUCCUUUUGGCACAUUAUUGUGCUAAACAUAGAUGGGUUAGUGAAACAGCUGGCAACAUGUAAUACUUCACUGUCUCGCACAUGCCAUUCCCUACCGCCCUCCCUCCCUCCCUCCCACUCGUUACCCAUUUACCUCGCUUUAACAGCUCCAAAAUAUUUCCAUGGGUGAAAAUGCGGAGGAAUUAUAGUUGCACAAGGAUUUAUACACCUUAAACACCACAUCGCUAAUUGAGUUGGACUUUUUGACACAAUUACAUUCUACUAGUGCUACCUCACAAUGAAAACACGUCUUGUAGCAUUGUGUUUUUAGUGCGUGUCUCCAUUGUCAGCCAGCAAUGACCUUCAAAACAUGCACUUCCUCUUCAGACCAAAAAUUCCCCCACUCAUUAAGUAUUUUGGAGACGAGCCACAGCGCCGUCAGCUCGGUAUUAUGAACAUAAUGUUUUGAGCAGAUGACAGAUGAUAAAUGCAUAUUCCAAGCAACGGCAGUCUGGACUCACACAAGGUCAUAACCAGGCGGCUAAAUUUUUACCACAAAACUAUCAAUAAUGCAAUGCAAAACAUAAAUGCGAUGCUCGGACGACAUUGUGAGUUUUGCAGAAACGUAUCAUUUUAUCUCGGUGCGCAUUCUUACAAGCGAAGAGGAACAUAAAUGACUCGGAAAUAUCAGUUCAAUCACAGAGAGCUCAUAUUACACAGAGGGAUAUUUCCAAACAUUAAACGUGUCUCUGUGAUAAGAAGAGUUUGUGUUCAGUUUUUACUACGAUAUUGACAAGACAAUAGAAAACACGAUACACAGUUAUCGUUGCGCAACCUCCACAUGAAUAAAGCAAACACGUAGUCGGCUUUUUCCAGUCAGCGAGUGCACUCCUCGCUCUAAGUGUUGUUCCAGAGACAACAAAUAUGAACUGUGACCUAUCCAAGCUGUGGCCUCUUUACCCCAUCAACAUCUUUGCGUAAGGGCUGCAUGCCGAGCUACAGUUUAGUUAACCAUUAAGAGGCGAGGCGGUGAGGCAACAGACUAGCUCUUCUUGCCUCUUACUUAGUCUGAUGAACAGUCACAUAUAUCAAUCAAACAGCCAAUGAGCAUUGAUUAAACAAUAUGCCG